CGCACGGCCGCGCCCCUCCCUCCCCCCUCAGCCAUCUCAGCCGCCACCCCCACUAACCCUAGCCGCGCCCUUCUUCCAUCCGUCCUCCUCCCCCUCCCUGGUAUGAGUCAUCCGUCCCCUAUCUCAGGCCGCCCCGAGCUCCUCCUCGUCCUCCAUCCUCACACUCUCCACCCCGAGCACGCCGGAGCAGUUCAGCCAGUACAGAACCCCUCUAUGCAAGAGGAACCCCGUGGCCAUCCGUGCGAGAGCUCGGCCUCGAUGGGGAAAUCAGCGGAGUUGGUGCAGCGGCAAAUGCGGGCGAGGUCGGCCAUGGAGGGAGGCUUGCUAACCGGAGCAGUAGGAGCAAGGAGGUCGAGGUGGUUUAGGUUUGCCUUUAUCUCCCCCCUCUUUGUCUCAUGGUUGAUGUUGUUGGUGCAGGCAGGAUCGAGCACACGCCAUAACAGCAGGAACGAGGAGCUGGAAUUGGUUCAUGGUUUUUCUUUAGUUCCUCUCUUUCUCUCUCUCUCUCUCUCUCUGUGUGUGUGUGUGUGCAUACGUGGGUCUUUUUGUCCAUAUAUACUGAACCAUGGAGUUGUUUAGAUGUUUGUCUUUUUGUUCAUGUUCUUCUUUUUGUCUGUGUAGAUAUUUGAUUGUAUUGGUAUGUUCUAAGGCUGGUGGGUAGCUAAGCUUAGGCUGAGUCCUCAUGUUCUAUGUGGAUAACAUACAAAAAUAUAAAUCCUAAUUUCUGAAAAUAGAAUGAAUCAUGUAUAUAUCUGUAGGGCAAGACAAGCACGUUAGUUGGAUCUAGCGUAUUGAGAUUGCAGAGGACUCAACACAGGGUUUGUACUUAUAUUCUAUAAAUUCAGUGUCAGGUUUUUGCCUCUGCUUAGUGAUUAUAUAGUACCGCCUUUUGAACUUGCAAAAACUGAAUGCAUAUAAGAAUCAAGGACCUUCACAGUGGAUAUGAUUUUGGUCAUCCACCAAGUCAUCAAGUUGAACACAUCAUCUUGGACAAGCAGAUGCGAAUUUCUGCUAGGUAUGCUUCUUCGAUUGUCUCUGCCAUCAACUCUCUCAACUCCCCAAGCAUUAACCCCGUCUGAUUGUUCAUAUAUUUUAUUUUUGUUUUGCAUUUACCAAUGCAUUUCUUGGCAUGUUUUGGUGCGUUCCUUCCUACGGCCAGCUCGACCAUUUGCUCCGUAGGGCAAAAGGAGCAAAUAAUAUGAGAAUGCAUUAGUCUUCUCUGCAAUUUGUUGUUCUGGUCAAUCUUUCUUGUUUUUCUACAUUUUUUUCUGCUCUUUGGUAAUGCAUUUGGAUUGUGUCUCUCUCUCAAUCUUGGGCAUAUUGGUUGUAUGGUUGACUUUUUUAGUAGCAGGGAGGUAACUAAGUAGUUCACAGGACAAGCAGUUGUAAACUUUGAUCAUUUUAUUUGUAGAGUAUAUUUUAGUGAGUAAUUCUAGGUUUUAGCUUUUUGGUAGAGAAUGUAUAGUUUUGGGAUCUAUGAUAUUAGUUAUGAGAGGAUGGUAAUCAUAUGGAUAUUGUGAUGUGAGUUAUUGGCCUCAGAAAUCGCAUUAUAUGGUUUAUUGGCCUAAUAAGCUCUCUUUGGCUGUAAAACUAAUAAGCAUGUCCAAAGGAUGGUUUUGUUUUGUUAGUUUCAUGAAAACGGUAGGAGUUUAAAUAGCAUCGAUGCUUAGUACAGAGUGAGAUUAACAAAACACUGAAUUGAAGAUCGGUUUUUCUCUUAUUUUGUCUACUCUCUGCCUCGAGAUAAGUGUGGAUUCAAUGGAUACUAACUCUGGCUGUUCGGCUAAAAAUUGGGUGCUUACAUACUCGUCGAAAUUUAGUUCUGUAAAAGAGAAAUAUUGUUAUCAUGCAAUGAUCAGUGCAGUGUAGGAUUACUACAGAGUUCUUCCUCCCUUUUCAUUGAGCAUGUUCUUUAAUUAGGUUGCAAUUGUGAAACUUGUUUUGGUUUUUUUAUUGUAUAAUAUGAAGCUUCCAAAUGGUUUGAUCAUGAAAAUAAGUUACCAAAUUUCUGUGUGCAGUGAGCUGGGAGCCAGGGUCAUAUGUGGUGUCCUUCCCUGAAUGAGCACUAUUGAGUUAUCUGCUUCCCUUGAUUAACCCUUCAUUUAGAACUACAAGACAAAGCUUGAAAAAAUUGGCCUGUUGUCUUCCUGUUCACAUAAAUCUGCAACCUGGGUGUUACUAAUGUUUCCUCAACCAACUUAUAGUCACUUUUAACUGACAAGUGUAUCAUAACAGGUAUUCUGAUCUAUCUUUUUUGUUAGUUGCAGGUUCAGAAGCGUAGUAAUGAUAUUUGCUAACAGCUAUAUGAAAAGGAGCUGUUAAUAGGUAAAUCCUACCUCCACAUAUACAGUUUGUAGGAGUUUGGAGUACUCUGCGCACCUACCUGUAGCGUGCCAUCACAACCACUUGCACAACAAGAGGUUUGCGCGCCACAUGUAAACUUCCUCUCCUUCCUCCCAGUCUCUAGCCACCCAUUGAGGGCUGGCACAUCAUGCCAAGGUGGGUUUCUCUGGAUCGUUCUCCAUCCGCUUCCAGAUCUCUAAUACUCUUAUCUUUCCGCCUAUCUAUGCAAGUGUUGUGGUUCCUUUCUCAUCCUUUUCUUAAAUAAACCUCUAAUUGAGGAGAGCAUCUUCUCACAACUUGUUACUACACUUUCUGGAUGGCCUGAUCUAAUAUUUUUUUUGGAUUUCUGUCUUCGAAGUACUUGACAAAUUUAUUGUAUAGAUAAAUAUGUUGUAGAAAAUGGCAUAGCCGAAUUGCUUGAUAUGUUUAUGCAAUUAAGCUGCUAGGAUAACUUCUGUAUAGUACUUCCUGUAAGAAAAGCACAAUCAUUCUAUCAACUAUACUAAUGAAAAAUGCAUAUAAUGUACCAUGAAAAUGGGAACAGAAUGUUCAAUUACUUUUGUUAAAGUACCGAUCUUCUGUGGUUCCAGCAUACUACAGCAGAUUGAUGAUUAAAGAGUAUUAGUGUUGAUAUAGUCCUCUUGGUUUAAGAUGAAUUAUUUUGUUUCUUUAAUCUAGGAAGCUGCAAAUCCUUUUUGACUUCUGUGAUGUGGUUACCACUACAACACACAAGUAUUGUAAGUACUUCCAAGCCAUUCCGGUAAUUGUGUGAUCCAUGCCUUUCACAAGUUGCAUUCACCAACGGACAUGCCUCAUUCCAGUAAUAUGCGGCAGAAAUAAUCUGUUAUUCAAAUGUUUACUGAACUGCUCAUGCUUACACUAAACAUUUUAUAUUUAAAAAAAUGUCAUUUGUUUUGAUUUUUCAUGACUUAGUAGGGUUCAAUUUUCCAUUUGCCACCAAUAUUCUCAUGAGUUGUAUGGCUGAUACUUCAAUCAAGACCAAUUUCCCUUUCUACUUUUUUGUUGAAUGGAUAGUCUAGCUAUUUGAAGGUAUCAGUACAUAAAUUAAUUUCUAAAAUAAUUCCAAUUAGUAUUUUCUGGCAAGCAUGCACAUUAAAGUUUCACUGUCUGCAAUACAUUAUUUUUGUUGUUAUACCGCUUGGACAACCUGUAUGACUACCCAAAUUAUUCUUUGUAUACUAACUCAUAAGAUUAUCUAGCCACCCUACCAAAAUGGUUGUCUUCAUCAAAAUCUGAUUUUCCUUGUUCCUUUCUAUAUCUCAGAAUUAGUAUUGUUUUUAUUUUUGUCGAUCACCUGCCUAUUUUUAUGGAGAGGUUUGUUAUUGACCUAGGUCCAAAUGUUUCACUAUCUGUUUAUUUUCCUUGGUGCUGGGAUACGAUGAUGAGUAUGAUGAUGCCAUUGGUCCACGUGAUGAUCUUGGUGACACUCAGCUAAAUUCAUCUGUUAGCGGGAGAAAACUCGAUGAUGGUGUUCAUGAGAGCGUAGUGAAGUGAAUGUUGCCUUUGAGAGACACAUCAAAGCAAGUGGAAAUAUUAGUCCAAUUCGAUCCUAGAUGUCACACAUUGCAUGUAUGAAUCAUGGUGGAUUCUAAGAUAUGUUAUUUUGCUAUUUCACUAUAACAUAUAUGUACAUGCUAUUUAAGAUAGCCGAAAGAGGAAAUGAGAAACCUAUCGUAUUUGUUUC